AGGAGGUGUGAGGAGGGCUCAGUCUGGCUGCCGGCUCACUGCGAGCUCGGCGUACCCACGGGGGAGCCGGACAUCGCCGCUUCCUUUCAUCCAUCACACCUUCCCUCUCCCUCUCAUCUCUCGCCCACACCACAUCGCACCCCCCCACAACCCCACCCUGGAAUGGAUUGUUAGUGCCAGUGCAAUGGAUGAAGAAUGAUGGAAUUGUUCCAUACCAUCCUGCUGCUCCUAUCGCUUUUCCACAGCCACUUGAUCACGAGCGCCGACAGGAAAUUCGAAUCCACUGCAUCAUUGGCAUCAUUUAGAAAGUAUUUUAUUGCCUCUACAGCACUUUGGAACUUCCUGAGGACAAAAUACACCUAUUAAAGCCAUGGUAUCAUCAGACAGUCCAGAAGAGGCCGAACCAAAGUCCUGUACAAACUCAACUUGAUGUCUCAACUUCUGUACACAAAGGCACAAGAAUUUAAAGUGAAACGUGCUAAUCACCUACAAAGAUUGCUGUUGGCAGCUACAAGUACAUGUAUCAGAAUUGUGGCUGGUGACAGCUAUUCCAAUCCUAGUGGAGGCCAAGCAGAAUUACAACCAUCCAUGAAAUGGCAAGCAUACUUUUGAAUUGUUUCAAAAUACUUCAAUGCAUACAGUUUGAUCAAAUUCUUGAAUUUUAUUGUAUAACCUGAUUAAAGUGUGUCAGAUAUUUGUUUGUCAAAUAACAAGGCUUUGAAAGGAAAUUACAGAUGUGAGUUAAUGAAACAUAUAUAAAUGGUAAAGAAAUAAAACAGUUGGAACUUGACAGCUUGCUUGGGUUAAUUUGCUAAUAUUAUUAAUGCAACAGAUAAAAAAAUCGCUUCAGCACAAUGAAUUAUUUUUGUAAAACUGCAUGCUUUGAUUCAUUGCAUGCCACUCUAAUGUGAGAGUGUUCAUAAUGAUACAUAAUAAAUAUUGUUCACAGCAAAUGUGUCUUCAUAUAUGCCUGGUGACCAGAUAACAACGCAGCCAUGAAUGAUACUUCAAUAUCCAGUCAAUGGUGAUUGCAUAGUUCUGCCUUAAUGGAGCGAGGGACUUUUCCCAUCCUUUUCAUGUGUUUUGUAUGGUCUGCAUGAAUUAAGAAAAACAUAUUUUAUAUUUCCUGUAUUGUAUACAUUAUGUGUAUAGUUAGACUUUUGGUUCCUAAGAAAUUGGUAAAGUAAGUAUGAGCAUUAAAGUGGCAUAUCAUUUAUUUCCAAA